UACGGAGGGUGCGAACGUUAAUCGGAAUUACUGGGCGUAAAGCGUGCGCAGGCGGUUCGUUAAGUUCGUUGUGAAAGCCCCGGGCUCAACCUGGGAACUGCAAUGGAAACUGGCGGGCUUGAGUGUGGCAGAGGGGGGUGGAAUUCCGCGUGUAGCAGUGAAAUGCGUAGAGAUGCGGAGGAACACCGAUGGCGAAGGCAGCCCCCUGGGCCAACACUGACGCUCAGGCACGAAAGCGUGGGGAGCAAACAGG
rnacentral:rRNA from 1 species